rnacentral:tRNA from 2 species
GCCAACGUAGCUUAGUGGUAGAGCGCAUGGCUGUUAACCAUGAGGCCGGAGGUUCGACCCCUCCCGUUGGCG